CCCAACCCCAAUUUUGUGAGUAGUCAUGGCCGCCGUACAAUUUCUAUCCCCCAAUGUGGCCCUCGGGCCAAAAAGUUUGCCCAUCCCUGGUGAAGGAAGCACAUGGC